UACGUAGGGGGCAAGCGUUGUCCGGAAUCAUUGGGCGUAAAGAGCGCGUAGGCGGCCCUGUAAGUCCGCUGUGAAAGUCAAGGGCUCAACCCUUGGAUGCCGGUGGAUACUGCAGGGCUAGAGUCCGGAAGAGGCGAGUGGAAUUCCUGGUGUAGCGGUGAAAUGCGCAGAUAUCAGGAGGAACACCGAUGGCGAAGGCAGCUCGCUGGGACGGUACUGACGCUGAGGCGCGAAAGCAUGGGUAGCAAACAGG
rnacentral:rRNA from 1 species